rnacentral:rRNA from 1 species
ACGGAGGAUCCAAGCGUUAUCCGGAUUUAUUGGGUUUAAAGGGUGCGCAGGCGGGCAUAUAAGUCAGUGGUGAAAUCUCCCGGCUCAACUGGGAAACUGCCAUUGAUACUGUAUGUCUAGAGUGCAGAUGAGGUAGGCGGAAUGUGUCAUGUAGCGGUGAAAUGCUUAGAUAUGACACAGAACACCGAUUGCGAAGGCAGCUUACCAAACUGUUACUGACGCUCAUGCACGAAAGCGUGGGGAGCGAACAG